AAACCAACAGGGAUUGCCUUAGUAGCGGCGAGUGAAGCGGCAAGAGCUCAAAUUUGAAAUCUGGCGUAAGCCCGAGUUGUAAUUUGAAGAAGAUAUUCUUGGAAUUGGUCCUUGUCUAUGUUCCUUGGAACAGGACGUCACAGAGGGUGAGAAUCCCGUGCGACAAGGAAUUCUUUUCUUUAUAAGAUGUCUUCGAAGAGUCGAGUUGUUUGGGAAUGCAGCUCAAAGUGGGUGGUAAAUUCCAUCUAAAGCUAAAUAUUGGCGAGAGACCGAUAGCGAACAAGUACUGUGAAGGAAAGAUGAAAAGAACUUUGAAAAGAGAGUGAAAAAGUACGUGAAAUUGUUGAAAGGGAAGGGUAUUCGAUCAGACUGGUAUUUAAUUAUCGCUACUCCUUGUGGGUGGUGCUCUAAUUUCUUACUGGGCCAACAUCAGUUUUGGUGGUAAGAUAAUCGCAGUUGAAUGUGGCUCCUCGGAGUGUUAUAGCU
rnacentral:rRNA from 1 species